AUGAACGCUGGCGGCGUGUCUUAGGCAUGCAAGUCGAACGAUCAGAAUUUAUUCUGAUAGUGGCAGACGGGUGAGUACGACAGUGGUAACUUACCUCGGAGUCUUGAAUAACUUUGCGAAAGCGAAGCUAAUACAGGAUGGUCAAGGGGGGACAUAUGUUAUUCCCUUGUAAAGAAUUUCGCUCCGAGAGAGGCCUUUGGCCUAUCAGCUUGUUGGUGAGGUAAAAGCUCACCAAGGCUAUGACGGGUAGCGGGUGUGAGAGCAUGACCCGCCUCACUGGGACUGAAACACUGCCCAGACUCCUACGGGAGGCUGCAGUCGAGAAUCUUCCACAAUGCACGAAAGUGUGAUGGAGCGACGCCGCGUGCACGAAGAAGCUCUUCGGAGUGUAAAGUGCUUUUAUUAGGGAAAAACUAGCGAUGGUACCUAAUGAAUAAGAGGUUGCUAACUACGU
rnacentral:rRNA from 1 species